AACUCUGCCUUGUACAUAUAAUUCCAAAUAUGCUCAUCUCUAAACUUCUGGUCCUUAGCUUUGGCCUUUGGACCUCCAUCUGCAAUUGGCUUCAGGAAUUCAGGCAGACCUCAGUUGGUUAGAACUGGUCAUAACAUUUCCUGCACACUCACCCUCGAUAUUGGUGCCCCUUAUAGUAGUGUACUUACAAUAAAGUACCGUUGAACCCAUUAAAGUCAAAAUUGUUGCAACUUAAUUCAUUUUAUUUGGUACAUUAUUGGAUACUAUGCACAGUUGCAACUAUUUGACGAUAAAAGUUAUUAAUCCAUGUUCAGUAUAAUGUAAACAACUUUAGGAAAAUCUGUAAUACAAUGUGUUCAUGGUCAUGUUUGAUUAUGGAGACAAUUGUGUUUAAGUUAAUAAUUAUAGUAUGACACGUGAAAUUAGUUACAUAUGAAAACUACCUGGAAUAGUGAUCUCCAGUGUAAUUACUGUAGCCUGGAAUGGUUACUUCAGAAAUGUUAAGUACGUCAGGAAUGAAGAAUUUAUAGUGUAGCCAAGAAGAUGAAGAGAUGAAUAAAUACACAACUGAUUAGAUUUAUAACUGUGCUUCUGCAAAUAAGCAUUUGAUUGUAUUAUUCCAGUAUCUGUAUAUUUGUUCACAUGGAUGUAUUACAUUUUUAAGAAUUUUUUUUAAUAUGAAGUGUUCCAAGUGACACAUUAUUUAACAUAUUCUUUAACACAAAGAGCCACUGCUCUUUGUUUUGUGAUGGCUGCCUUCAACAAAGGAAGGCCUUUCACCAAAAAUCUGUAAACAUAAAUGCAUUUAACUCAUGGCGAACCAGCUGACCUAGCUGAAUUCUGUCUUGCCAUAUUAUCUUCUUGACCAAUCCCAUUGUUCUAGUUUUGAUAGCAGCUGACCCAAAUAUCAUUUAAUUAAUACGAAAUACAUGGUGACCUGAGCCCCGCAGUGAUAUCUCAUCUAUCCUAAAUGAUUUUGUUUUCUGUGCUAAAAAUAUAUCUUUCUUUCCCCACGUAUUAAUUUUACCUGUUUAUUGCUUGACAGUCUGUCAACAUGUCACAUCCUAUUUAAUCAAAAAGAGAUCUUAUGGAUUGGAGACAUGAUUUUGCAACAGGAAUAAUUUUGAAUGUUUUUAAAUAAGAUAUAAAUACUGAUAUAUAAUGAUUACAUGUGUUUGCGGGGUGGAUUUAGAGAAGAUAUCUUUUCAUUACAUGCAGUCAAUACAGCACUGACAAAGGGGAUGUUACUUCGUGGCAAUCUAUGUUUGACAGUGAGCAGCUGUUGACUGGCUGCAUUGUCAGUCUGAAGAAGGAUCUCGACCUGAAACCCAUUCCUUCCCUCAGAUGCCACCUGUCCAGCAGAGUUACUCCAGCAUUUUGUGUCAGUCUUGUCUUCAUGACUACUGUGGAGAUUUUGCAAAUUCUGUAUGAAGAACUGGAGUCCAUUAUAUGAAUAGAAUAUAAUAGAUUUGAAUGCCUUUUUAUUGUCAUUCAAACAGACAAGGUUUAACACAGUUUACAUAAACAUCCAUCACAGUGGAUCUCCAACAUCUCCUCACUGUGAUGGAAGGCAGAAUCUUGUCUCUUCCCUUUGUUCUUCUCCCGCAGUCCAUCAGUCCAACUGCAGCGUCGAGGUGACGGGGCUCCCGAUGUUAAAGCCCCCGGCAGGCAAUGAUUUUCAGCAUCUUUUUGUUUGUUUACGUGCUGCACCUAUUUAUGGUUCUUUAAAAUAAACUGGACAAUUUCUAUCAACAAACGGGAUUGCAUGCUAUUGGAAAUGCAUUAGCAAAUACGGCAAUGGAUAGACUAGAUGGACUGAAGAAUGUAACCAUAUUGCUCAGGUUAUUGAGAUACACUUGACUCUUGAAUACAGUUAAGUGACACAGAAUAUUAUGAAUAACACAGCAAGUGAUUCAACAUCUGCAAGUGCUGGAUUCUGGUCCAUCCUCAACAAACACUAUUGGGUGCAGAGAUGCAUUAUGGCACAGCUUAGACACCUUGCCUCGAGGUAGACACUGAUCAGGAGGUACUGAUUCUGGUACAAUGCUUACAAUGG